rnacentral:lncRNA from 1 species
AUGAUCAAAGGUCAAAAGCGCUUUGAUUCAUUUUUUUACCCCGCCACUGUAUUACCACUGCCAUCUGUGUCAUUUGUAUUAAUUAACGUCAACCAGUCAGCAACUAUGAAAAGAAAAACAAAACCAAGAAAGGUAUUUGAUAAGGAUGGAAAUGACAUCACUCCUCAACCACUGUACCCAGUGAGGCACUCAGCUGCUGCAGUUCAAUGCCACAAGUUUUCCAGGUUCCUGGAUGAGAUAUCUGUGGGAGCAGCGUCCGAGACGUCGGGAGACAGCAUCUGCUCCAUACCUUUCUCCCGGUGAGCACUGCGAAUCACUCCAUUAAUCAUGAUCCCCAUUAUAACGAUCCCCAUCCGUUUGUCUUGUUCAUUGUUCGUCAUUUACUGUAAAUCUACAAAUUGACUAAAUGUCGCAGUAUU